rnacentral:rRNA from 1 species
AAAUCCCAUAAAGUUGUUCUCAGUUCGGAUUGUAGUCUGCAACUCGACUACAUGAAGCUGGAAUCGCUAGUAAUCGUAGAUCAGCAUGCUACGGUGAAUACGUUCCCGGGUCUUGUACACACCGCCCGUCACACCACGAGAGUUUGUAACACCCGAAGCCGGUGGAGUAACCUUUUAGGAGCUAGCCGUCGAAGGUGGGACAAAUGAUUGGGGUGAAGUCGUAACAAGGUAGCCGUAUCGGAAGGUGCGGCUGGAUCAC